rnacentral:pre_miRNA from 1 species
GAAACUGGGCGCAAGGCGAGGGGUGCUAUCUGUGAUUGAGGGACAUGGCAAACGGAAUUGUCUCACACAGAAAUCGCACCCGUCACCUUGGCCCAUCU